rnacentral:rRNA from 1 species
AAAUUGAAGAGUUUGAUCAUGGCUCAGAUUGAACGCUGGCGGCAGGCCUAACACAUGCAAGUCGAGCGGCAGCGGAAAGUAGCUUGCUACUUUGCCGGCGAGCGGCGGACGGGUGAGUAAUGUCUGGGAAACUGCCUGAUGGAGGGGGAUAACUACUGGAAACGGUAGCUAAUACCGCAUAACGUCGCAAGACCAAAGAGGGGGACCUUCGGGCCUCUUGCCAUCAGAUGUGCCCAGAUGGGAUUAGCUAGUAGG